CCUACGGGAGGCAGCAGUGAGGAAUCUUCCACAAUGGGCGAAAGCCUGAUGGAGCAACGCCGCGUGCAGGACGAAGGCCUUCGGGUUGUAAACUGCUUUUAUAAGUGAGGAAUAUGACGGUAACUUAUGAAUAAGGAUCGGCUAACUACGUGCCAGCAGCCGCGGUCAUACGUAGGAUCCGAGCGUUAUCCGGAGUGACUGGGCGUAAAGAGUUGCGUAGGCGGUUGUAUAAGUGAAUAGUGAAAUCUGGUGGCUCAACCAUACAGGCUAUUGUUCAAACUGUACAACUUGAGAGUGGUAGAGGUCACUGGAAUUUCUUGUGUAGGAGUGAAAUCCGUAGAUAUAAGAAGGAACACCAAUGGCGUAGGCAGGUGACUGGACCAUUUCUGACGCUAAGGCACGAAAGCGUGGGGAGCGAACCGGAUUAGAUACCCUAGUAGUC
rnacentral:rRNA from 1 species